UUGACAACGUCAAUGAAUACAUCAAAGAGAAAUUCAGUAUCGCGGGGACCAGGAGUAGACUCUGGGUGAAAUUGCACAGAGAAAAAUGGAUACUCAGUAUUAUAGAUACCUUCAUUUGAACCAUCGUUAGCAUUGACAAAAAGUUCUUUCCAGCCAUUUGAUAAACUAGACGCAUCAACCGCAUAACCAUGAUUUUGGGAAGUAAUGUAACAUCUACCCGAGAUCA